CAGAGUUCAUGCCCUUCGGGGUAGAUCUCCCACCCUAUGUAUUUAUACCUUUGUUGCUUUGGUAGGCCGUUGGGCUUCGGCCUGGCUACCGGCUCCGGCUGGUAAGUGCCUACCAGAGGACCCCUAAAUACUACGUAUUAGUGUUGUCUGAGUACUAUAUAAUAGUUA
rnacentral:misc_RNA from 1 species